rnacentral:rRNA from 1 species
UACGUAGGGUGCGAGCGUUGUCCGGAAUUAUUGGGCGUAAAGGGCUCGUAGGCGGUUUGUCGCGUCGGGAGUGAAAACCUUGGGCUUAACUCAGGGCUUGCUUUCGAUACGGGCAGACUAGAGGUAUGCAGGGGAGAACGGAAUUCCUGGUGUAGCGGUGAAAUGCGCAGAUAUCAGGAGGAACACCGGUGGCGAAGGCGGGUCUCUGGGCCGAUACUGACACUGAGGAACGAAAGCCAGGGGAGCAAACGGG